AUCGUGUGUGUUGCUAUUUCAGGUGCAAUUCUGUUCCUAGUCAUGACUGGAAUGUUAAAUGGUGUGUUGCCAAAGAAGUCACAGAGAAAUGCGUGGUUUGAAGUAAAUAAUCAAAUACUCAAUGCAUUGUUCACUCUAAUGUGCCUUUACCAGCAUCCAAAACGGUUCUACCACCUUGUACUUCUCUGUAGAUGGAAACCGGAGGACAUUUCUAGACUCAGAAAGAUUUACUGCAAAAAUGGGAUCUACAAGCCCCAUGAGUGGGCACACAUGAUGGUUGUUGUUAUUCUACUCCAUGUGAAUUGUUUUGCUCAAUAUGCACUGUGUGGUCUAAAUUUGGGGUACAAGAGAUCUGAGCGACCUGCCAUAGGAGUUGGAAUAUGUAUAUCUUUUGCAAUAGCUGCACCUGCAAUUGCUGGGGUAUACACCAUUAUUAGUCCCCUUGGGAGGGAUUAUUCUGAAAUGGAUGGGGAAGCACAGAUUCAAAUUACUGCUGGUUAGAGUAAGAGGCCAGUGUAGUUAAGAAUAAAAUCAUUAGAAAAGAGAUUUUCCUUUGCAAAAGCAGAUGAACAAGGAAAUGUUGAGACUAGACCACACUGGAGUGGAGGGAUUCUUGAUUUUUGGGAUGACAUCUCUCUGGC
rnacentral:misc_RNA from 1 species